rnacentral:rRNA from 1 species
GUCUACAGCCAUGCCACACUGAGCAGGCCCGGUCCCGUCUGAUCUCGGAAGCUAAGCAGGGUUGGGCCUGGUUAGUACUUGGAUGGGAGACCACCUAGGAAGACCAGGUGCUGUAGGCA